rnacentral:rRNA from 1 species
UGGGGAAUAUUGGACAAUGGGCGCAAGCCUGAUCCAGCCAUGCCGCGUGAGGGAUGAAGGCCCUAGUGUUGUAAAGCUCUUUCACCGGUGAAGAUAAUGACGGUAACCGGAGAAGAAGCUCCGGCUACCUUCGUGCCAGCAGCCGCGGUAAUACGAAGGGGGCUAGCGUUGUUCGGAUUUACUGGGCGUAAAGCGCACGUAGGCGGACUUUUAAGUCAGGGGUGAAAUCCCGGGGCUCAACCCCGGAACUGCCUUUGAUACUGGUAGUAUUGUGUUGGAGAGAGGGGAGUGGAAUUCCGAGUAGAGGGGUGAAAUGCGUAGAUAUUCGGGGGAACACCAGUGGCGAAGGAGGCUCACUGGCUGGAUACUGACGAUGAGGUGCGAAAGCGUGGAGAGCAAACAGG